rnacentral:lncRNA from 1 species
UCAUUAACAAAUUUAUGAUUAUUCUUCAUCAGGGCAAUUUUUUUAACAGUUUUGCAUGUGCACCCAGUUUUCACACAUUUCCUGGAUUAACAAGGAGGAGACAUCCACCUUUGCCUUCUCUUCACCUGAAAAAAAAUACACCUGCUACCAGCUGUUGCUACUCCCUUCUGGCCUAUACUUCCCAAGUUCAUCAUGUCAACAAGUUCUAGCAGCUCCAUCAGCAAAUGCAUCUCAUUCACAUUGAUCAUCACAGCACAUGCCAGCGGGAUAGUCAUUGAAUGUUGAAUGUGUUCAAAUAAAUCAACUAGACAUGAGAGAACCUCA